AUGGCUCAGGAUGAACGCUGGCGGCGUGCCUAACACAUGCAAGUCGAGCGGAGAUACAUGUCUAAGAGAUUCGGUCGAAUUAAUUGUAUCUUAGCGGCGGAUGGGUGAGGAACGCGUGGAGAACCUGCCCUUCGACAGGGGGAUAACAGCUGGAAACGGCUGUUAAUACCGCAUAUGCUCACAGGAUCGCAUGAUCCAGGGAGGAAAGCCGAGACGGUGAAGGAUGACUCCGCGUCGGAUUAGCCAGUUGGCGGGUAACGGCCCACCAAAGCGAUGAUCCGUAGCCGGCCUGAGAGGGCGACCGGCCACAUUGGGACUGAGACACGGCCCAAACUCCUACGGGAGGCAGCAGUGGGGGAUAUUGCACAAUGGGGGGAACCCUGAUGCAAGCGACGCCGCGUGAAGGAGGAAGUGCUUCGGCAUGUAAACUUCUAUCAGCAGGGAAGAAGAUGACGGUACCUGACUAAGAAGCCCCGGCUAACUACGUGCCAGCAGCGGC
rnacentral:rRNA from 1 species